rnacentral:rRNA from 1 species
UCCUACGGGGGGCAGCAGUGAGGAAUAUUGGUCAAUGGCCGGGAGGCUGAACCAGCCAAGUCGCGUGAGGGAAGACGGCCCUACGGGUUGUAAACCUCUUUUGUCAGGGAGCAAGGGGCAGGUCGGGCCCUGCUGUGAGAGUACCUGAAGAAAAAGCAUCGGCUAACUCCGUGCCAGCAGCCGCGGUAAUACGGAGGAUGCGAGCGUUAUCCGGAUUUAUUGGGGUUAAAGGGUGCGCAGGCGGAGGCACAAGUCAGCGGUAAA